GGUUGUUGUCCCUACCCCUCUUUGCUCCUGGGAACAUCACAUUGACCCUGUUAGUGCCUUGACAAAGCACAAAAUUGUUUCUCCAUCCCCACCGGCCCACCCUGCCUUGCCCUUUUCUUAAAUGAUGCUCUGUCAUUUUCUUUUUCUAUUUUUAUUUUUCCCCCUCUACUUAUUUUUAUUUUUUCCCCUCUACUUACUUGCAAAAUCAAAUACAAAUAUUAUGAGAAAAUUUUGAAUUAUUCGCUCUUGCAGGU
rnacentral:misc_RNA from 1 species